UGUGCUUAUCUGUUCAACGACGCCACUAUGCAUUCAUGU
rnacentral:misc_RNA from 1 species